CUCUGAGGCGGCUGCGGCAGUGCUAAGUCCGCGAUGCUGGUGGGAAAUUUUGAUGGAGCAGCGAGCAUAACUGUUAGGAACAGGGAGUCACCUGGGGCCGAGCGUGCACUCAGUGAUUGGAGUGGGCGGUUAGGGCCUGGCAGGGGAAAGCGGACCGGGGGUCGCCAGGCCAUGGAAGCGGGUAGAGGAGACGGGUACAUGUCCGCUUGCAAGGCGCGACCUCAGGCGGUGUGGAGCAAGGGUUACCGGGCAUGCGUGGGUGUGUGUGUGAGGUGCGGGUGGGGGGAGUGUGUCCGUGUUGACACCAACUGUGUGUAGGUGUGACACCAGUUGGGAGUGUGCCCCACUCCCCUUGCAUGUCAUUUCCCAGUCCCUCCUUCCCCCCCCCCCCCCCCCCCCCGUCAAUCCCUGACCUGCUUUGAGUGUGUAGAUUUGCCUAUUUUGGACUCUUUUCUUUUUGCAGUUUAUGGUUGGGGCUGGGUUUGAACCUGCCACCUCUGGCAUAUGGGGCCAGCGCCCUACUCCUUUGAGCCGCCUGGACUCUUCUUACUAUUGUGGAAAACGAAUACCCAAACACCAUAUUUAAGAGGAAAAAAGCUUUUAUUCAACUGGUGGUGCUAACUGCAUAGAAGAAUUCAAAAUGGCCAUGCUCCCUGGCUGACUUGGUCUUUCCCAUUUUAUCUCUGGUCAAAAAGUUCCAACCCAUGGGUACCUUUCUCAUUGGUCAGUUUGAAUCAAGUGUGGAAAGCUGUUCCAUCCCUCACAGAAGGAUAGGAUUUCACAGAAGUGGAAAUUUCCAGGUCCCAGGAAGUGAACUCUACAAAUUCCUAAGAGCAGAAUCACCAUGGAGAGGACCCUGCAGCUGUAUCCUUGGAGUCUUCUUGAGAAGACAGAAAACAGAAGACCUCUGUUCCUAGACCUCACCCUUCCUGGAAGCUGUUGACCUUUAAGGAUGUGGCUGUAGACAUCACACAGGAAGAAUGGGUGCUGCUGGGCUCAACACAGAGGAUCUUGUACCUGAGACAUGAUGCUGAGGACUCCCUCAUUCCAAACCAGAUAUGAUCACUGAGUCUCUGACAAGCUUCCCUGGUGGAAAGCACUUGGCAUGUGUUGUCAGAAUCUGGAGAUGGAGAAGUCAGACUCAGAGUCUGAGACCCGAACUGCACAGCUGCCUCCAGACAAAGGCUCUCUGCUUUGGGGGUAGAUGACAGUGGGACUCAAGAGACAGGAUUUCUGGCACAGCAUAUUGCAAGAAGUUUUAGGACAUGGAGGUGAGGCAAUGAUGUGUGGCCAGGACAAGAAGAGCCCAGGGCAAGGCCUUGCAGGAAGUUUCUGCCACCCGUUUUUCAUCAGGGCACUCCCCUAGGGACUCAAGCUGCCUUGAGCCGCAUUCUUGAAAAGGGCCUUACAUGCGUUUCAGUCCUAAAUCAAGGCCACACCUGCCAAGGAGACGGAGUGUGUCGGGAGGCCUGAAGGUGUUUCCCAGACCUUGGUCAACCACCAGGAGUCCACACUGAGGGCACUGGCAUGUGGUGAGGGGUAAGACGCCUUUGGCAAGAUGACCUGCCUUGUAAGCUGUCGGCUGAUUAUCAGAAGGAAGCCCUAUGUGUCUGCAGAGUGUGGCAAGGCCUUUGGACACAGCACUCAUCUCGUUUAGCACCAGAGAAACUGCACUGGCAUGUCCACAUGAGCAAGAAGCCCUACGUGUGUGGCCUCUGUGGGAAGUACUUUCGUGAGAGCUAUACUUUACCAACGUGAACCUAGCAGUGAGGUUAAAAGUCUAAACAGGAAAGUAACUGAAAAGGAAAGAGAAAUAUUUAUACAAGUGUCCCUCAAAUAAAGCACCAUGAUGGUUUAA